rnacentral:rRNA from 1 species
UAAGUCCCGCAACGAGCGCARCCCCUAUCUUAUGUUGCCAGCACKUUAUGGUGKGGACUCGUAAGAGACUGCCGGGGUCAACUCGGAGGAAGGUGGGGACGACGUCAAGUCAUCAUGCCCCUUAUGUCCAGGGCUUCACACAUGCUACAAUGGCCAGUACAGAGGGCUGCGAGACCGUGAGGUGGAGCGAAUCCCUUAAAGCUGGUCUCAGUUCGGAUCGGGGUCUGCAACUCGACCCCGUGAAGUCGGAGUCGCUAGUAAUCGCAGAUCAGCAACGUGCGGUGAAUACGUUCCCGGGCCUUGUACACACCGCCC